CUCCACAAUUUUUCCCCAACGAUGGGUCCUUGGAAAGAACAUCCAUUCGAUGGAGGCAAGAAUAGAAAAGAACUAUGAGAAUACUGUACGCGGUGAGGUAUGUGCGCAAGAAGGGGCAGAACACAGAGCCGAAUCAACACACCACCACACUAGGCAGCCUCCACCUUUCCUUGGAAUUCAGCUGCCAGACUGCAAGGUAGUUAGCAACCUCCUUUCACACCAACUACGUAUUGAAACAUGGAGCGGCGGCUGGCCAGAAACGGAAACCGCGCAGCACCGCAAUCUGGGGGAGGGGAGUGAAAACCAGCACACGGCAAGAUCUCAGAGGAGAUCCCGAUUCCUUCCAGCACCACUGCCACCAUCACAGCCGCCCCCUGUUCUCCUGGAAAGGCCAGCCAACUCUCAGUCGUCCCCGACUUCCGAAGACACGCGCCCCUUCAACUCUCUCUUUCUGCAGUCAGCGUAGGGACGGAGACGCAAACUGGCUCGAUCGCCGGGAGGACUGGGGUGGGGGGGGUGAGGAGAGAGAGGAAAGAGGCGACGAUCGGCUCCCCCCCCUUUUUUUUUCUUUUUUACCUUCACAGACGCCCGCUUCGUACUCCGUGAGCGAGUCCCCGCUGAGCGGAGGGCGGAUCACACAGCGCAGCCCGCGGUCGCAGGCGCCGUGGAGCCCGAAGAACCCCCCGCAACUCUCGUUGCGUUGCCGGGCGCACAUGAAGCAGCAGCCACAGAUGUCCAGCACGACGCCGCCGGGGCAGUUCUUGGGUUCCUCACACCUGGACUCGUCGCAAGGCAGGCAGACGAAGGCCCGCGUCCCGGUCUCCCCUAAGAGCAGCAGCGCCAGAAACAGUAGCCACCCCACCGACCAAGGCCGGCCGCCGCCGCCCCGGCGCCUCCGACCCGCGGAGACCAUUGCCAGGUACAUCCUGGCCAGGGCCGAAGAAGCAGCCCCGGCUGUCCGCCAACGCAGUCCUCGGGUCCUGCAGGGGGCAAAGCGACCCAGACCCAACUGCGGAGGGAAGGGGAGGGGAGGGGGCCGCCGCCUCAGCCGCCGCCGCCUUCUCCGGCCCCUCAAGAAAAGUUUCCUCACAGCGGCAGCGGCGGCUCCGGCCAAACUUCUGCUACUCCAGGCAGCUUCCCGCUCCUUUCCUCGUUCGCUCGUCUCCCUCCUCGCCCCUGUGAGGAAGCGCCUCUCU
rnacentral:lncRNA from 1 species